rnacentral:tRNA from 1 species
GAGGGUACAGCUCAGUGGUGGAGUGUAUGCUGGGCAUGCCUGAGGUCCUGGGUUCAAUCCCCAGUACCUCCA